rnacentral:tRNA from 1 species
GCCUGGAUGGCUCAGUCGGUUAAGCGCCUGACUUUGGCUCAGGUCAAGAUCUCACAGCCCGUGAGUUCGAGUCUCACAUUGGGUU